GGAACUCUUCGACCGCGAGACAGUGCAGGGCCCGCUCCCUCUUGGCGGGCGGGGCAGGCCAGGCCUCUUGGCGGGGGCGCGUCUGUCAAACUUGGCAGGGCGGGAGCCGGCGGAGGCUGCUCUCCUGGGUGAGGCGCAGGAGGCUGCCGCGUCGCUCCCCUCCGAGGCAGCGCCAGGGGCCCGGGUGUCAGGCACCCGCCCGGCUAACGCACUCGCCUCGCCCAGCGUAUCGGAUGCCUCAGGUUGGAUCUAUGCCAAGUACCUCUCAGGGCUGCGCGUAGCACGUCGCUCUAGUGCUGAGCGAGGGAGAGCGAAGGGCUGCGGUGUGUUGGGGGGUGUCACAAACAGCCGUGCACGCGGAGAUUUCUGUCCGUGAAAUUGCUGGGAUUGAAAUAAACGCGUCCCUGAAUAGUCGUCCCGAAAGGAAUCCGGGGCCUCCAGCAUCAGCCGCACGCGCUGCGCGUACACUGAGUGAGCUACUGAAACGGGUUGUGAGCCCGAAGAGGCUGCAUUGUUAGUUGUGGCAGAAGGGAAGAAUUGACUUGUCUGUAUGUUCCUGCUGUCCUCGACUGGCCCCAUCUCCGAUGUUCUCAGGCACAGCCCCAAAUGGAUGGUAGCAUAGUCCCAUCAUGUGAACAGCCUACUCUGCUAGCCAAGAAUGACCCCAUCUCCUUCUCAUAGCUUUUGGGAUGCCAUGUUCCAGGAAGCAUCUGGAGGGCCUCUUGGAGCAUAGGGCCUCCAACUGCACCUCACUGCUGCACAAUAAUGCAAGAGGAGGGUCUCUUUAUGCCCUCCCUUAUGCAUCUAUGAAGUAGCAAGGCACAACCUGGCCCAUAAAGUGUUGGCAAGUUCCAAUCCACAUCACAAUAGAAGCAUCACUGCAUCUGAGUUAGCAUUUGGUAUAUGGUGGGGAAGCUGAGGAAGAAAGCGAUUAAGUGACUUGGCCAAGAUCACCCAGAAAAUUGUUCAGUGCUGAGAUUAGAAAUCAGGAGUUUAUGUGCUGCUGGUCUAAAAAGGAGCAGCGAGGAUUCCUGGCUGAGCUGGAUGCUGUUUGCUGCAUCAUACAUGCUAACCAGCUAGAAACUCUAUGUGCACAUUAGCCAACAGAUCAUUCUCUCUUGAGGAUGGCAUGCCUGGGCUCGUGUGUCACCCUCUUUUUCUCAUACUGCUCUCUUAAGCUCUAAAGAGGUUGGCUGCUCUGCUCCUUGUGCUAAGGGGAGGGAAGAACAGCAUCCGACUCUCAAUACAAGCUGCAUUCCACAUUACUAUAUUAGGGUCAAGUGACUGAUUUGAAAAUACUAUGAGUUAGGAUAUACUUUAAUCCAUAGGCCUGAUUCUCCUCUGCCAUCCUCCUUGUUUAGUCGUUUACAUCUAUGUAAAGUGGGUGCAAAAUGCUAUCAAGAAAGAAUGAUAGAGUUUUAGCCUCAAUUUACACAGGUGUAAAUGACUACAUCAGGAACAAGAUAGGACAGAACCAGGCCUCAUGCUAUCAUCUUAUUUGCUUUGAGCUCACUGUAGGACCCAGUAUUGGACUAACAACUCCGUUUCUACUCAGGCAAACUGCCAGUAAGAAAGCAGUGGGAAUUUUGUUUAAGUAAGGACUUCAGGAUUGGGCCUGAUAGUUUGUGUGAAUGCCAAAAAUUAUUUUAAAAUAGUUUGUAGAAUAUCAUCAUAAGAUAAUGUAACAUCACAGUGGGCGAUCUAUUUAAACUGUUGCACAUUAAAACAUGAGUGGGUUCGUGACAUCACUUUUUUGCAAUCUUGCUCUCUGUUGAGAUUAUUACAAAAGGCUCUACUGCAGAUUGGAAGUUUAAGUACAGGAAAAAAUAAGUGCCCUCUAAUUUCUCUCGCAGGUAAUAAUACAGUAGUGAUUUUAAAGUAAAAGUAUGUAUGUCAAUGAGAAUCUUUCUGAGGUUGAAGUUAAGGUGCAUUUGGCUGAUUGAGGAAUUAGUGGGUACUGUGGAUGCUUGUAUCUGAUAACAAAAGGGAGAUGGUGAUGAGGAGUAUGAUUCCAUUUGGGUAUUGUGAUGUUUGUUUGGUAAUGUGUACUGAUGCUGGAAAGGAGGUUAAUUAUGCUAAUGAUGACUAAUCAGAGGAUUUCCUUGCCUUUAGUUAUUGUGUGGAUAAAAAAAAAAUUUGCUCUACCACUGACUUGCAUGAGAUUGGUCAAAUCAUUUAACCUCCCUCUACCUCCAUUUUCUCCAUGGGGAUAAUCAUAUGUGCCUAAUUUACUGGCGUAUUAUAAGGUUUACUGUUUGUGAAAUAGGUUGUGAUCCUCAAAUAAAGGUACUUCAAAGUAUAAAA